CUCUGCCUGUGAUUUCAGGUGCAAAAGGCAUUGUGCUUUUGCUCUACAAAGGCUUCUCUGAAGUUCCCAAUGACAUUUAGGCAGUGCUUGGAAUACUUGGAAAAACUGAGUACAAGAAACCUACGAAAUAAAGGCAUCUACUUUGCUACUACGGUGCUCCUUACUUUGAUUAAGAGGAGAAGAAUGGGAUCUCCUUGUUCAGUCAUUUUAGCAGGUCCGUGUUCCUUGGUGGUAGCGUGUCAUGUGCUUGCUGGGCAGAUCCUCUCCUGGUCCUGGACCCUGCAUGCUGGAGGUUACCUUGUACCUUACAACCAAGUUGAGGUGUUGAGGUCACUGUUGUUUCCUGCAUACAGACCCUCACAAAAAGCUCUCUCAGGACUUGCUCUUGUGAGGGUUCAGAAUCAUUCAGUAAAUGCACUCAGUACAGAAGAAGACCAGUCCCAGUUUGAUCAGCAAACUCAAGAGCAAGAAACACACAAACAUGAGAACAUGCUCUGUGUCUUCUCAGUGGAGGUGCAUCCAAUUUGA
rnacentral:lncRNA from 1 species